rnacentral:tRNA from 1 species
GGAGGGAUCGCAUAGUGGUCUAGUGCGGGCGCCUGCUAAGCGCCUACCCUGAGUAAUCGGGGUCGAGGGUUCGAAUCCCUCUCCCUCCGCCA